rnacentral:rRNA from 1 species
GACGAACGCUGGCGGCGUGCCUAACACAUGCAAGUCGAGCGGAGAAUUGGGAGCUUGCUCUUGAUUCUUAGCGGCGGACGGGUGAGUAACGCGUGAGCAACCUGCCUCGAACUGGGGGAUAACGCAUCGAAAGAUGUGCUAAUACCGCGUAAGACCACAGUACCACAUGGUACAGGGGUCAAAGGAGCAAUCCGGUUUGAGAUGGGCUCGCGGCCUAUCAGCUUGUUGGUGAGGUAAUGGCUCACCAAGGCGACGACGGGUAGCCGGCCUGAGAGGGUGACCGGCCACACUGGGACUGAGACACGGCCCAG